AACCUGAAUAGUUUUUAGGUAAAUCAAAUGAAGUAUAAUGAACAGUCAAAACUUAGCCCAAGAUUACUUUAUGGAGAUAAAAGAAAAGAUAAGUACACAAUAAUAGAAUUAAACAUGAAAAUCUCAUGCAAGAACUAUCUGUAAUCUGGAAAGACAUCAUAAGAUCAGUGCUCGAAGAGCAAAUUGUUUAUUCACAGUUAAACUGGUCCUCUUCUAUCUUUCUAUAGAUCCUUCUUGCUUUGGCGUACCAAAGAUAUAUUUGACUUGGCACCUUCUAGGUUUAUCUCUAUAACAAAAGAUGCUUUGGCUUACCAAAGAUAUAUUUGACUUGGCACCUUCUAGGUUUAUCUCUAUAACAAAAGAUAGAACUGAUAACCAGACUGUGCCCUGAUCCUCCAUUUCCACAAAUAAAGGCAUUAAUCAUUCUUGGGAGAAUGUCUUACUCAAAGUAAACAAUCAGGAACCUUAUCACAGAGAAAAUGACAAGAUAUGAUAAUGAAUCGCAAAAUUAAGCAUCCAUAUUGAGAUCUUACAGUACAUUGGACAUACCAUU
rnacentral:lncRNA from 1 species